rnacentral:rRNA from 1 species
UACGGGGGGUGCAAGCGUUGUCCGGAAUCAUUGGGCGUAAAGCGUUCGUAGGCGGCAAGGUAAGUCUGAUGUUAAAGCCCGGGGCUCAACCCCGGCCCGCCGUUGAAACUGGCAGUCUCGAGUUGGAGAGAAGUAUGCGGAAUGCGCGGUGUAGCGGUGAAAUGCAUAGAUAUCGCGCAGAACUCCGAUUGCGAAGGCAGCAUGCCGGCUCCACACUGACGCUGAGGCACGAAAGCGUGGGUAUCGAACAGG